rnacentral:rRNA from 1 species
UCUAGAGGAAAAAAGGUAAUACUUUUAAAGGAAACCUUUAUUUAUUGGCGGCCUUUUUUCUUAUUAGAGGAACUCGUCUCAUAAUCGUCACUCCUCGUUAAUUUUUACUUUUUUUUAUCUCUUAUAUCGCCGUCUAAAGAUAAAAUUCUUUUCUUCAAGAAAAUAAAAAAUUAUUAAGUCAGGUAAAGGUGAGGAAAAAUAAAAAAGAGAAGAUAAGUUACUUAUAAAAACUAUUUUUGAAUUCAUAAUUUAACUAUUUGUUGAAAAAGGAUUUAAUAGUAAUUUUUCAAUAAUAAUUUACAAUGAAUUAGUAAAAUAGGUGU